GUCAAAAUGAAGCAUCUGCUUAUAUUUCCAUUAAUGUGAUGUAUGAAUUGCCAGGUGGCACUACUGAAAUGUCAAAUUUGGAUGUAGCUUCGACAAUGAGCGUUGAAGAUUUUGUAAAUGACCUCAGCAUCAAGU
rnacentral:sRNA from 1 species